AACGAACGCUUGCGGCGCGCCUAAUACAUGCAAGUCGAGCGAGAAAGUACUUCGGUAUGAGUAAAGCGGCGGACGGGUGAGGAACACGUAGAUAAUCUGCCUUAGAGUGGGGGAUAACUAAUCGAAAGAUUAGCUAAUACCGCAUAAGACCACAAGGGCUUCGGCUCAAGGGGUUAAAGGAGCAAUUCGCUCUAAGAUGAGUCUGCGUCCGAUUAGCUAGUUGGUGAGGUAAUGGCUCACCAAGGCAACGAUCGGUAACUGGUCUGAGAGGAUGACCAGUCACACUGGAACUGAGACACGGUCCAGACUCCUACGGGAGGCAGCAGUAGGGAAUAUUGCACAAUGGACGAGAGUCUGAUGCAGCGACGCCGCGUGAGUGAUGAAGGCCUUCGGGUUGUAAAACUCUGUGAUAAGGGAGGAUGAUGACGGUACCUUAUCAGAAAAGACCGGCUAACUUCGUGCCAGCCGCCGCGGUAAGAC
rnacentral:rRNA from 1 species